GACGAACGCUGGCGGCGUGCCUAAUACAUGCAAGUCGAACGCUGAAGGAAGGAGCUUGCUCUUUCUGGAUGAGUUGCGAACGGGUGAGUAACGCGUAGGUAACCUGCCUGGUAGCGGGGGAUAACUAUUGGAAACGAUAGCUAAUACCGCAUAAAAUUGAUUAUUGCAUGAUAGUCAAUUAAAAGGUGCAACUGCACCACUACCAGAUGGACCUGCGUUGUAUUAGCUAGUUGGUGGGGUAACGGCUCACCAAGGCGACGAUACAUAGCCGACCUGAGAGGGUGAUCGGCCACACUGGGACUGAGACACGGCCCAGACUCCUACGGGAGGCAGCAGUAGGGAAUCUUCGGCAAUGGACGGAAGUCUGACCGAGCAACGCCGCGUGAGGGAAGAAGGUUUUCGGAUCGUAAAGCUCUGUUGUAAGAGAAGAACGAGUGUGAGAGUGGAAAGUUCACACUGUGACGGUAUCUUACCAGAAAGGGACGGCUAACUACGUG
rnacentral:rRNA from 1 species